GAUGAACGCUGGCGGCGUGCUUAACACAUGCAAGUCGAACGGAAAGGCCCAAGCUUGCUUGGGUACUCGAGUGGCGAACGGGUGAGUAACACGUGGGUGAUCUGCCCUGCACUUCGGGAUAAGCCUGGGAAACUGGGUCUAAUACCGGAUAGGACCACGUCUUGGAUGUUGUGGUGGAAAGUUUUUUCGGUGUGGGAUGAGCUCGCGGCCUAUCAGCUUGUUGGUGGGGUAAUGGCCUACCAAGGCGUCGACGGGUAGCCGGCCUGAGAGGGUGUACGGCCACAUUGGGACUGAGAUACGGCCCAGACUCCUACGGGAGGCAGCAGUGGGGAAUAUUGCACAAUGGGCGCAAGCCUGAUGCAGCGACGCCGCGUGGGGGAUGACGGCCUUCGGGUUGUAAACUCCUUUCGCUAGGGACGAAGCGUUUUUGUGACGGUACCUGGAGAAGAAGUACCGGCUAACUACGUG
rnacentral:rRNA from 1 species